UACGGGGGGGGCAAGCGUUGUUCGGAAUUACUGGGCGUAAAGGGCUCGUAGGUGGCCAACUAAGUCAGACGUGAAAUCCCUCGGCUUAACCGGGGAACUGCGUCUGAUACUGGAUGGCUUGAGUUUGGGAGAGGGAUGCGGAAUUCCAGGUGUAGCGGUGAAAUGCGUAGAUAUCAGGAGGAACACCGGUGGCGAAGGCGGGUCUCUGGGCCGUAACUGACGCUGAGGAGCGAAAGCAUGGGGAGCGAACAGG
rnacentral:rRNA from 1 species